UCUUGCUGUCUGUGUUGCUGCUCUCCAAACUUAACAUGCAAGUCCUUUGUCAAUUACUAGAUUUGCCAAAUAACAGAUUGUGCACCUUGUUUUACUAAUUAAUCAUAAAAUCCACCAGCAUACAGAUUGGAGUAGUACAAAUCGGUGUGUUCUUACCACACAGAAGACGCCGUCAACAGUGGAGUUUGACUUCAAUUUCUGGGCCUGAAAAAGCAAGACAUGGAGAACCAAGAUCACAAUUAGAGCCUGAGCAGAGGCCUCUGCAUAACGGCUGGUGAUAGGACCAAAUGAGAAACCAAACAGAAGAACUGGGUGAGAAUUUCAAGCCUGGUGCCAGAUGUCCCCAGCACUAGGAAAAUAACAGGGUGGGUUGGUCGGCUUGCAGUGGACCCUGAUCACCGCAGCCUCCCACUCCCUUUGGUCCAAUGUGGGCAUAGAGGUGCGGAUGAUAACAAGGACUGGAAUAGUUAAAGGAAGAGGAUGGAUUGGAGUAGACAGAGCAGCAAUCUGGAGAAGAGAAGCAACAUAUUCUGUCCAGGCUGCCCUUUA